rnacentral:rRNA from 1 species
CCUACGGGGGGCAGCAGUGGGGAAUAUUGGACAAUGGGCGAAAGCCUGAUCCAGCCAUGCCGCGUGUGUGAAGAAGGCCUUCGGGUUGUAAAGCACUCUCAGUGGGGAAGAAAGCCUUGGGGCUAAUACCCUCGAGGAAGGACAUCACCCACAGAAGAAGCACCGGCUAACUCCGUGCCAGCAGCCGCGGUAAUACGGAGGGUGCGAGCGUUAAUCGGAAUUACUGGGCGUAAAGCGCGCGUAGGCGGUCUGAUAAGCCGGUUGUGAAAGCCCCGGGCUCAACCUGGGAACGGCAUCCGGAACUGUCAGGCUAGAGUGCAGGAGAGGAAGGUAGAAUUCCCGGUGUAGCGGUGAAAUGCGUAGAGAUCGGGAGGAAUACCAGUGGCGAAGGCGGUCUUCUGGACUGACACUGACGCUGAGGUGCGAAAGCGUGGGUAGCAAACAGGAUUAGAUACCCGGGUAGUC